rnacentral:lncRNA from 1 species
GGCGCUCCGCUGCCGUCGGGGCACGUGGGCGGGUGGAUUGCAGCGGCAGCCGCCCCUCUCCCCUGGUGCUGCCGACACCCCGCGGGCUGCCACCUCGCGCAGCCCCGAGGGGGAGCUCCCGGGCGGCGGACCGAGCCCGGAGAAGGGAGCCCGCCGAGGGCAGGACGCCCGACCUGGGUGGGGCUGGUGGAGCGCGCGGGAAGCUGGCCGGUGGCCGCUACCAACCUUCGCGCGGGAGGCCAGUGGGGCGGUGACUGACCGACCCCGUUCAUACCCCGGCAUCUUGGUAUCUACAAUGGCAAGAACUAGUACUACAAAGGAUUAGAGACCAGGAAAUUGGAAUAACUGGGUCUAACAUCAUAUCCGACUCCACCUUCUGUGCGGACCAUGGCUCAACCGAGAAAUGCAACAAAGCCACAGCGACUUGAUAGGAAGAAAACGUGUCCAUGCUCCCGGCUCAGUCUCCGUUUGGAAUAAUUUCAAAAUAAGAAAUAGAUUGUUU